AUGAAAGCUGCCAGGUUACUUCUGUGGGUGUUGGCGGCUUGCAGCGCACAUGUCGUCAUCUGCAACACCUCCAUCUCGUACGGAAACGAGACGGAUCGGUUAUCGCUGCUUGCAUUCAAGGAUGCAAUCAUCAGUCUCGGUCCACAACAAACCUUCAUGUCCUGGAACCAUAGCACUCACUUCUGCAAUUGGGAAGGUGUCCUAUGCAGGGUCAAGGCUCCACGUCGUGUCACUUCUCUAAACCUUACAAGUCGAGGUUUGGUGGGGCACAUCUCUCCUUCACUUGGAAACCUAACAUUCAUGCGGUCUCUGGUCCUCACAGAGAACACACUCGCCGGGGAGAUCCCACCCUCGCUUGGUCACCUACCUCGCCUCCAAACCUUCCUCUUGAAUAGUAACAUGCUACAAGGAAGGGUGCCGAGUUUCGCUAACUGCUCAAAGCUCAAGGUGAUGGAUGUUUCGAAAAACAACCUAGUAGGCCAUCUCCAUGCCAACUUGCCUCUUUACUUGCAAGUGUUGCACGUUUGGUCUAAUAACCUUACUGGCACCAUCCCAGCUACUCUUGCCAAUAUCACAACAUUAACCCAAAUUAACUGCCAAGAUAAUCACAUCAAGGGAAAUAUCCCAAGUGAAUUUGCACAUUUGUCCAGCUUGCAGCACCUGUCUGCCAGUGCUAAUCGGCUAUCAGGAAGAUUUCCACAAGCCAUCUUGAAUCUUUCUACUCUUACCAUCCUCGAACUUGCUGCCAAUGGUCUAAGUGGAGAGGUUCCACCAAAUCUCUUUACCUCUCUUCCCGAUCUCCAGAUACUUUUCUUAGGUGGCAACUUAUUUUUAGGGCACCUUCCUAGUUCAUUCACCAACGCUUCCAAUAUACAAGCUCUCGAUUUGUCAAGAAACAACUUCACAGGAUUGAUGCCUACCACGAUUGGAAAACUUACCAAACUCUUGAGCUUGAAUCUUGAAAAUAAUGAACUCCAAGCACACAACAGAGAAGAUUGGGAGUUUUUGAAUAGCUUAGGCAACUGCACGGAGCUACAAAUGUUUUCCAUGGGUUAUAAUCAUCUAUCAGGGCAUGUACCGAGUUCAUUAGGUAACCUUUCAAGUCAACUCCAGGAAUUAUACUUGACAAACAAUCAACUAUCAGGAGAUUUUCCAUCUGGCAUAGCAAACCUUCGCAACCUGAUUUUUGUAGCAUUGGGACGAAAUAACUUUACAGGUGUGGUUCCUAUGUGGAUAGGAACUCUCAAAGCUGUGCAGGUAAUAGGCUUAUUCAAAAACUUCUUUGCGGGGGCCCUCCCAUCAUCCUUGUCAAACUUGACUCAAUUGGGAGCUCUCUACCUACGCUCGAACCAGUUCACCGGUCACAUACCAUCAAGCUUUGGAAACUUUCCAAUGCUUCAAAUAUUGGACAUUUCCCGCAAUGAACUCCAUGGCAAGGUUCCAAUGGAGAUCUUUAGAAUCCCAGCAAUAACUGGAAUUGAUUUAUCAUUCAAUAGCCUUGAUGGACAACUUCCUACGGGCAUUGGAAAUGCCAAACAACUCGUGAUAUUGAGAGUUUCAUCAAAUAAACUAUCCGGAGAUAUUCCAAACACUUUGGGUGAUUGUGAAAGCUUAGAAGGCAUUGAGUUAGAUUCAAACAUUUUCAGCGGAAGCAUUCCCACAUCGUUAGCCAAGAUAAGCAGCCUCAAAGUUUUGAAUUUGUCUACCAACAACUUAACUGGGUCAAUACCAGCAUCUCUUGGCAGCCUGGAACUCCUUGAGGACCUAGAUUUGUCAUUCAACCAUCUUAAUGGAGAGGUUCCAACAAAAGGGAUCUUCAGGAAUGCAACUACCUUGAAGAUUAACGGAAAUCAAGGGCUUUGUGGCGGGGUAAAGGAGUUACACAUACUAGCUUGUUCUGACGUGCCUUCAAAUUCAACUAGGCACAAGGAAUCUUUAGUGCUCAAAGUGGUCAUCCCAAUAGCAUGUGUUGUGUCACUUGCUGUAGUCAUAUUUGGCUAUUUGCUAUGGAUAAGAAAACACAAUAGCAAAUCUAUAUCACUGCCAUCGUUUUCUACAAAAUUACCGAAAGUUUCUUUCAACGACCUAACUAGAGCAACAGCAGGGUUCUCCACGCCUAAUUUGAUUGGUAGAGGAAGAUACAGUUCUGUAUACCAAGGAAAACUACUUGAAGACCAAAAUGAGGUUGCCAUAAAAGUCUUCAACCUAGAGAUAAGAGGAGCACACAAGAGCUUCAUUGCAGAAUGUAAUGCAUUGAGAAAUGUGCGACAUCGCAAUCUGGUCCCUAUUCUGACUGCAUGCUCAAGUAUUGAUUCUAAGGGCAAUGACUUCAAGGCCCUGGUGUAUGAGCUCAUGCCACGUGGAGACUUACAUAAGCUACUAUACUCAACUCAAGACUAUGAAUGCUCUUCAGAUUUGAACCUCAUUAUGAUGGCUCAAAGGAUAAGCAUUGUGGUGGACGUGGCAGAUGCACUGGAGUAUCUACACCAUAAUAACCAAGAAACAAUGAUUCAUUGUGAUCUGAAGCCUAGCAACAUUCUUUUGGAUGAUAAUAUGACAGCUCAUGUUGGAGACUUUGGGCUGUCAAGAUUCAAAGUUGGUUCUACAAUGUCAUCUCUUGGUAACCCCAACUCUUCUUCUGUUGCAGUAAUGGGGACGAUUGGAUACGCCGCUCCAGAAUAUGCUGGGGGCGGUCAAGUUUCAACUGCCGCGGAUGUUUACAGCUUUGGUGUCGUUCUCCUCGAGAUAUUUGUUCGAAGAAGGCCAACGGAUGACAUGUUUAAGGAUGGACUCAACAUUGUGAACUUUAUAGAGGCUAGCUUCCCCGGUAGGGUAUUGGAGAUUGUCGACCCCCAACUUCUACAGGAGUUGGAGGAAACUCCAAUGGCCUUGAAGGAAAAAUGUUCAGAAUGUCUUUUGUCUAUGCUAAAGGUUGGCCUUUCUUGCACCAAGCCAUCUCCCGGUGAUCGUAUCAACAUGCAGGAGGUGGCGGCCAAGCUACAUGGAAUCAAGGAUGCUUACUUUGAUGCUAACUGA
rnacentral:rRNA from 1 species